GUGAAGAACGCAGCGAAAUGCGAUAAGUAAUGCGAAUUGCAGAAUUCCAGUGAGUCAUCGAAUCUUUGAACGCACAUUGCGCCCUUUGGUAUUCCGAAGGGCAUGCCUGUUCGAGCGUCAUUAUCACCCCUCAAGCCCUCGGCUUGGUGUUGGACGGUUUGGUGGAGGCCCCCUCGGGGGCUCCUGCCCCUCCCAAAGACAAUGACGGCGGCCUCGUUGGACCCCCGGUACACUGAGUUCUUCACGGGACACGUAUCGGACACAUGGGUUUACGGGACACGGUCUGCCUCCCCUCAGGGAGAAUCUUUCUAAGGUUGACCUCGGAUCAGGUAGGGAUACCCGCUGAACUUAAGCAUAUCAAUAAGCGGAGGA
rnacentral:misc_RNA from 1 species